rnacentral:rRNA from 1 species
UACGGGGGGGGCAAGCGUUGUUCGGAAUUACUGGGCGUAAAGCGUGCGCAGGCGGCCAUCCAAGUCAGUGGUGAAAGCCCGGAGCUCAACUCCGGAAUUGCCAUUGAAACUGUUUGGCUCGAGUACGAGAGAGGUGAGUGGAACUGCGAGUGUAGAGGUGAAAUUCGUAGAUAUUCGCAAGAACACCAGUGGCGAAGGCGGCUCACUGGCCCGGUACUGACGCUGAGGUGCGAAAGCGUGGGGAGCAAACAGG